UACGGAGGGUGCAAGCGUUGUUCGGAAUUACUGGGCGUAAAGCGCGUGCAGGCGGCCGAUUAAGUCCGGUGUGAAAGCCCGGGGCUCACCCCCGGAAGUGCGCUGGAAACUGAUCGGCUAGAGUACGGGAGAGGGAAGCGGAAUUCCUGGUGUAGCGGUGAAAUGCGUAGAUAUCAGGAGGAACACCAGUGGCGAAGGCGACUUUCUGGGCUGUAACUGACGCUGAGGCGCGAAAGCGUGGGGAGCAAACAGG
rnacentral:rRNA from 1 species